rnacentral:rRNA from 1 species
UACGUAGGGGGCAAGCGUUAUCCGGAUUUAUUGGGUUUAAAGGGUGCGUAGGCGGGCUUUUAAGUCAGCGGUAAAAAUUCGGGGCUCAACCCCGUCCGGCCGUUGAAACUGGGGGCCUUGAGUGGGCGAGAAGAAGGCGGAAUGCGUGGUGUAGCGGUGAAAUGCAUAGAUAUCACGCAGAACCCCGAUUGCGAAGGCAGCGUACCGGCAUCCAACUGACGCUGAGGCACGAAAGCGUGGGGAUCAAACAGG